rnacentral:tRNA from 1 species
ACCUGGGUGGCUCAGUCGGUUGAGUGUCUGACUUUGGCUCAGGUCAUGAUUUCGCAGUCGUGAGUUCAAGCCCCUCAUCAGGUU